rnacentral:rRNA from 1 species
AGAUUGAACGCUGGCGGCAGGCCUAACACAUGCAAGUCGAGCGGCAGCACGGGUACUUGUACCUGGUGGCGAGCGGCGGACGGGUGAGUAAUGCCUAGGAAUCUGCCUGGUAGUGGGGGAUAACGCUCGGAAACGGACGCUAAUACCGCAUACGUCCUACGGGAGAAAGCAGGGGACCUUCGGGCCUUGCGCUAUCAGAUGAGCCUAGGUCGGAUUAGCUAGUUGGUGAGGUAAUGGCUCACCAAGGCGACGAUCCGUAACUGGUCUGAGAGGAUGAUCAGUCACACUGGAGCUGAGACACGGUCCAGACCUCCGUACGGGAGCAGCAGGUGGGGAAUAGUUGGACAAGUGGGACGAAAGCCUGAUCCAGCCAGUGCCGUCGUGUCGUAGAAGAAGGUCUUCGGAAUUGUAAAGCUAACGUUUAAGGUUGGAAGGUAAGGCUAAGUAAAGUUAAUUACUUG